AAGAAAAGAAAGAGAAAAGAAAGAAAGAAAGAAAGAAAGAAAGAAAGAAAGAAAGAAAGAAANNNNNNNNNNAAAGAAAGAAAGAAAGAAAGAAAGAAAGAAAGAAAGAAAGAAAGAAAUAUCCAGUGAGGUUUAUGAGUGUUUUUACAAAUUGUUAUUCUCUCUCCUCCACAUCUCUGGCAUCGCAGGUGGCAGAUAUUUGCGAUUGAGGAACCAUCUUCUCAGAGCAUCAUGAGGUACAUCCUAGGAGCUUCCAAUGACAGACACUUGCCUGGUUUCAUAAUAAAAAUGAUGGCUAAAAUAUCUCUGUCAGAAAUCUCUUUCCAAGAGCAAUGUGGCUGUCAAACACUCCAGACAAACUAUGUGGUUAAAUGCUUAAUUCUCUAGUACAAUGGCCACGGCUUAACCGAAAGUACGAUCUUAUCACUGGUAUUAGAAAUGGCACGUACAAUCUUAAAGAGGAAAAUGGAGGGAUCAAAUAGCUUUGGUUUGUCACUUCAUGAACAGACAUUCCAGGAAUCUUUGAGAGACCCUCACCCUGUGAAAAGACAUGUACAGUAGCUGACAAAAAAGUAUUUUUUCAGAUAUUAUCAAGGGUGAAUCUGCACAGAGGUACAUUUCAUUUUAUAGCAGCCAGCUUUGGAAUGUACCUGCCAGAAACAAGAAUGCUUCCUUCAUUUAGCCUGAUUUAUCAUUACAAGAACUAACAGAGCUCCUUCAUAAACUACUGAAGCUCAGUUCUGGCACAAGUCCAGCAAAGUUGCACAACUUACUUAACACUACAAGGAAUACUAUGCUUCUAUUUACCCUUCAAAUAAUGCCCACCAUUUUUCAUAAUGUACCAGAAUUCAUUAAUUGAUUCUGACAAUAUAUAGGGACAAAAAAAGAUUUAUUUUUUUCCCAGAAUAUUUUGAAAGCCACCCAUGACACCAGAAGUUCAGGUAGGUACCUUAGAUACA
rnacentral:lncRNA from 1 species